rnacentral:misc_RNA from 1 species
GACGCCAACACUCAAGGGGCCUUUCAACGAGACAAGCCCRUCGAACMACCGCAUGAGUGAAGCAGUCAGUCGUUUUAGCCACAAAUGGAACGAACGGGCAAGACAACCCGAUACUCUUCGUGUCUUCCGCAUCCCCAAGCCACGUGUAAACUUGUUAACCACUCACACAGUUUCAAAAACCAAUGCUUGGCUUCACAAGACACACGAACAGGUUGCCCACAGCCGAUGCAAAGACCAACCAGGGGCAAAAUUAACGCACGACAUCGUUUGCCAAAUAAUUUCUUUGGUACACAACACAGGAACGUCAGGGACGCACGAAAGGGG